rnacentral:rRNA from 1 species
CCUACGGGUGGCAGCAGUGAGGAAUAUUGGUCAAUGGCCGGAAGGCUGAACCAGCCAAGCCGCGUGAAGGACGAAGGUGCCAAGCAUUGUAAACUUCUUUUGUCAAGGGACAAAAUCAGGCUCGAGAGCCUGACCGAGGGUACUUGAAGAAAAAGCAUCGGCUAACUCCGUGCCAGCAGCCGCGGUAAUACGGAGGAUGCGAGCGUUAUCCGGAUUUAUUGGGUUUAAGGGGUGCGUAGGCGGGCUGUUAAGUCCGCGGUAAAAGCCCGGGGCUCAACCCCGGCGAGCCGUUGAAACUGGGUGUCUUGAGAGGUGGAGAGGGAUGCGGAAUGCGUGGUGUAGCGGUGAAAUGCUUAGAUAUCGCGCAGAACUCCGAUGGCGAAGGCAGCAUACCGGCGGGGAACUGACGCUGAGGCACGAAAGCGUGGGUAUCGAACAGGAUUAGAUACCCUUGUAGUC